GAUGAAGAACGUAGCGAAAUGCGAUAAGUAAUGUGAAUUGCAGAAUUCAGUGAAUCAUCGAAUCUUUGAACGCACAUUGCGCCCCCUGGUAUUCCGGGGGGCAUGCCUGUUCGAGCGUCAUUUCACCACUCAAGCCUCGCUUGGUAUUGAGCAACGCGGUCCGCCGCGUGCCUCAAAUCGACCGGCUGGGACUUCUGUCCCCUAAGCGUUGUGGAAACUAUUCGCUAAAGGGUGUUCGGGAGGCUACGCCGUAAAACAACCCCAUUUCUAAGGUUGACCUCGGAUCAGGUAGGGAUACCCGCUGAACUUAAGCAUAUCAAUAAGCGGAGGA
rnacentral:misc_RNA from 1 species